rnacentral:rRNA from 1 species
UUUUAGUAGGGAAGAAGGGAGCUUGCUCUGACGGUACCUGCAGAAAAAGCACCGGCUAACUACGUGCCAGCAGCCGCGGUAAUACGUAGGGUGCAAGCGUUGUCCGGAAUUAUUGGGCGUAAAGAGCUCGUAGGCGGUUUGUCGCGUCUGCUGUGAAAUCUGGGGGCUCAACCCCCAGCCUGCAGUGGGUACGGGCAGACUAGAGUGCGGUAGGGGAGAUUGGAAUUCCUGGUGUAGCGGUGGAAUGCGCAGAUAUCAGGAGGAACACCGAUGGCGAAGGCAGAUCUCUGGGCCGUUACUGACGCUGAGGAGCGAAAGCAUGGGGAGCGAACAGGAUUAGAUACCCUGGUAGUCCAUGCCGUAAACGUUGGGAACUAGAUGUAGGGGCCAUUCCACGGUUUCUGUGUCGCAGCUAACGCAUUAAGUUCCCCGCCUGGGGAGUACGGCCGCAAGGCUAAAACUCAAAGGAAUUGACGGGGGCCCGCACAAGCGGCGGAGCAUGCGGAUUAAUUCGAUGCAACGCGAAGAACCUUACCAAGGCUUGACAUAUACCGGAAACGUCCAGAGAUGGUCGCCCCGCAAGGUCGGUAUACAGGUGGUGCAUGGUUGUCGUCAGCUCGUGUCGUGAGAUGUUGGGUUAAGUCCCGCAACGAGCGCAACCCUCGUUCUAUGUUGCCAGCACGUUAUGGUGGGAACUCAUAGGAGACUGCCGGGGUCAACUCGGAGGAAGGUGGGGAUGACGUCAAAUCAUCAUGCCCCUUAUGUCUUGGGCUUCACGCAUGCUACAAUGGCCGAUACAAAGGGCUGCAAUACCGUAAGGUGGAGCGAAUCCCAAAAAGUCGGUCUCAGUUCGGAUUGAGGUCUGCAACUCGACCUCAUGAAGUCGGAGUCGCUAGUAAUCGCAGAUCAGCAACGCUGCGGUGAAUACGUUCCCGGGCCUUGUACACACCGCCCGUCAAGUCAUGAAAGUCGGUAACACCCGAAGCCGGUGGCCCAACCCCUUGUGGG